rnacentral:rRNA from 1 species
UGGGGAAUAUUGCACAAUGGGCGCAAGCCUGAUGCAGCCAUGCCGCGUGUGUGAAGAAGGCCUUCGGGUUGUAAAGCACUUUCAGCGAGGAGGAAGGGUGGUGUGUUAAUAGCACAUUGCAUUGACGUUACUCGCAGAAGAAGCACCGGCUAACUCCGUGCCAGCAGCCGCGGUAAUACGGAGGGUGCAAGCGUUAAUCGGAAUUACUGGGCGUAAAGCGCACGCAGGCGGGUUGUUAAGUCAGAUGUGAAAGCCCCGCGCUUAACGUGGGAACUGCAUUUGAAACUGGCAAGCUAGAGUCUUGUAGAGGGGGGUAGAAUUCCAGGUGUAGCGGUGAAAUGCGUAGAGAUCUGGAGGAAUACCGGUGGCGAAGGCGGCCCCCUGGACAAAGACUGACGCUCAGGUGCGAAAGCGUGGGGAGCAAACA